rnacentral:tRNA from 1 species
GUGGGUACAGCUCAGUGGCAGAGUGUGUGCUUAGCAUGCACAAGGUCCUGGGUUCAAUCCCCAGGACCAGCA